AACGAUCGAGAUAGAAAGAAUACAAUAGUGUGCGUAGUGUGCGUGACUCGUACGAGAAAGGGAAGCCAACGAUCGAGAUAGGAAGUAAGACGGAUCAAGCCAGAUCAAGUUUUUGCUCAAUCUUUUGCCAAAAUUAAAAUUUUAACAAGAUAGAUGCUAGGUCUCUCAAUUUGGUUUCCCCUCUCUUCCUUAGCCAUAGUUUUCGCAUGAGAAAUAUAAAAUUAGCACCAAAUUUUGUCGCAAUUAGCGAGAUCGAGAUUUAAUUGUGUGAAUAAUGUUUCGUACGAGUAAAGGGAUUAUCAUUAAUCCUAAAGUUUUACCCCAAACUUCAUCUUUGCAUCUUCAAAUCUGCACCUUUUGUCCCAAUUGUAGAAGCCCUAACUUUGAAGACCCAAAGAUUCGUCAAUUUGUUCGAAGGUAUUUUUUCCAACAACUUUUUUCAUCCGUAUUCCAUUAGUUGCUGUAAUAAUUCAUAUAUACAGACACAUGUAUGUAUGUGUGUAUUUGUUUAUGUAAGAGACGCUAUUAUUAUACUUUUUGAUGUCUUAUUUUUCCUUUUAUGGUGCAUUAUGUAUAUAAUAGUGUAGUCGAAUUUUUUUGCAAGGUUUACAGAUCUUCAGUUUAACUUGUCCACCACUAAAAGUUUUAUGGUUCGUCGCAUUCAAAGACAUAUCUAUUUUUCUGUUUUCCUCUCAAUUUUGUCAUUCAAUUGUUGACUCUGUUUCUUUCACGACCUGCAUAACUUUGUUGUGGACAUUUCACAUUUUCUAUGAUAAGGUAGUGCUAUUACAAAAUUUCACCCUUUUAGACUUUUAUGAAUAUUGGUGUUAUAUUGUCUGUUGGACUAAUAUGAAAUUUAGUUAUUGGGCAUCUGGUUUCGUUCCUAUUAUUAGUUGUAAUGUUAAUAUAUUAUUAGAAUAAUGUAUUAUGUAUGAUAUGAAUGUACAUUAUGUUUUAUUAAUAUGUUUAGGAUAAAUGUCAAUAGAUCCGUAAUAGGAUUCAAAUAAUAUUUAUAUAAUAGUCAAAAAAUUCUCAGUCAUACUCUGAAACUCUUUGAUGUUAGUUAAAUUGAGCUUGCUCGGUAGGCACUGAGGACAUUACUUAAUGGUAUGCCAAUUUUAGUUGCAAAGUACCAUGUCACCAUGUGUAUCUUUGGUGCAAAUCAGUUGAGAGUAUUUUAGUAAGAAUAAUCUGCAAGAGCUUUUCUUUCAACGGAAACAUAUUAGAUUAUCCCCUGUUGAGAUAGUGCCUCCUCACGCUGUGAUCAGUAUAAAUUGUGAUUGGACCAUAUUAGUGGGGAUUAACAUUGUUGGCUAUUAAAACUUGUACAUACAGAUAUUAAGAGUUUUGAGUAGCAUUCCAUUAAUAACUUGGAUUUAAGCUUUUGGGUAAUAUCAAUGACUACUUUGUAUUGCUUUUUCUUUAUUGCUUAUGAAAAGAAAAAAGAAAAGAGCACUUUCAUUUAUUCUCUCUUGAACAGAUAGAUUGAUACACAAAAGGAUUUUUUUUCCCUUCCUUUUGUCACAAACCAUUUUGAAAACUCUUUACUAGCUUCUCUUGAUAUUUCAGGAUGGAUCACAUUCUAAUUUGAGUGCCUAAUUUAUGACUUGAUUUUAAAUUCACUACUGUCGUGGGAAGAAAGAAUUAAGGAGCAAAAGAAAUAUACUACUAGUUAUAGUACACUGGAUGUCUCUCUCUUUCUUUUUUGGUAAUAAGCGAUGUCCUUCAUGUACUACGUACUAUUUUCUCUUCCCUUUCAAACUAAUUUUUUGCAUGCCAUUCUCUUAAUAGUUGUGCGGUAAAUAGCUAUACUACAAUUUAUAUAUUUAGUUGGUCUUGAAAUGCAUGUUUUUAUUCUAGUAGUGGAUAGCUAUGCUAUAGUUGCAUCUUGCUUCCACAAAUAAACAUAAUCUAUACAUUCUAUAGAUGAUAUAUGUAACGAAGUCGUGCCGGCACAACGAUACUAUGUGUGAGCCUCAUUCGUGACUAAGAAUUUAUGUUUUAUUUACAUGUGAUAUGAUUGUUUGUAACUGAACUUGUUUUGUUUUGUUCUAUUACAUAGUGCGCUAUUGAGGGACUAGUUUUGGGCAAGGUUGACAUACAUAGUAUCGUGACUUACCAUUGUAGAAUCUAGACAAAAUGUAAUCAGUUCACAUACAUAAUUUAUAAUACUAUUAUAUGGGACCUAAAUUUGUUGCCACAAUUAAAUAAUCUGUUUAUUACUGUGAUCAAACUUCUGUGCGAACAAUUUUUUAAUGGUUUUUUCCUUAGAAAAUAGUGAUUUGUGAAAUGUGUGCAUUUUAUUAGAAAAUAAGUUUACAUGUUUUUUUUUGGAAAUGAUAAAUGGAUGAUCUUCAUAUGAUAAUCAAGCCUGAGUAUGCAUAUUCAAGGCAAGGUUGUUCUUCUCAUUUGGCCAAGUACAGAUCUUAUUUCUUCUUUUCCUAUUUCUAUAAAUAAUUCUAUUAUCACCACAUGGGAUCAUUGUUUAGAGGAAAUUAUUGCGAUUGUAGCUGAUAAUUUUCAGAUAACACCAAGGUGCUAAAGACCCUGACCUUUUGGUUGCAUUAUUUUCUUCACUAACAUAUUUUACCAUACAAACUAAGCUAAACUAUAGUUCCUUAUGUAUCCGUUGAGAAUGAUGAGACUAAAAAUAAGGUUCCUAAUUAACAUGAAAUAUUUUAAUGUAAACAUAAUGGAAGCAGUAUUACUUUGACACUAUUAGAAGCUCAACAAGUUCAAAAAUUAGAUAAAAACAAAGCAAGAAAAUACAAACCAGUAGAGGGAAACAUAAUUGCAGAUAUUGAAAUACCUUACUUUACUUUGUUUUCCUCAACUUCUUAUGGAAAACUACAUUUUGUCAAACUUCCACUUAUUUGGAACAGAGUGUAUAAUAAUUGUUAAUAACAGAAUCCCCAUUGUCUACUUUGCUUUUAUAGCUAUUAUUAUUGCAUGUGCAAGUUGGUUAAGCAUAGUUAACUUCUUGUUCCAUUUAGGAGCAAAGUUGGAUAAAACAUUAAAAAGAAAAUGUUAAAAACAAGGUAGUAGAUAUUUUGUUGGACUAUGGCUAAGGGGGCAGAAAGAGUGAGAGAGAGAGAGGAGACGUUCAUGCACCCCAAGAAGCAUCAAUGUAUAAAAGGAUGUCCCGCUAUUAUCAUCCCUCUUGCACAUUCAGCACCAAUUUGUGGACACCUCCCUCCGUGUUAGAUUAUCCCCUGUUGAGAUAGUGCCUCCUCACGCUGUUGUCCAAGUAAAAGCAGCCAUUAAAAGGUGCACCAGCCCUCCAAAUCCCUAUUUAGGGAAUGUUAAACCCUGCUUUUAGAAGCUCUGCAUAGUAAUAUCUAUACGCCCCUUGGAACACCUUGUGUAAAUAGAGUACAGUUUCUCAGUAAAUGCCUUUUGAUAUAUCAUUAUUGUGGAUAGUUCAACUUUUCCAUCAUUAUGAUAGGAUCAGUAUAAAUUUUGAUUGGCCCAUGUUAAUGGGGAUUAACAUUGUUGGCUAUUAGAACUUAUACAUACAGAUAUUAAGAGUUUUGAGUAGCAUUCCAUUAAUAACUUGGAUUUAAGCUUUUGGCUGAUAUAGAACUGAUUUUUAUAAAAUCACUGAUCGUAUUGAAGUUACUUAAAUUUGGUAAUGCAAUUUUAGUUUUGAAUUUGAUAUUCAUUUGGCUUAUGAUUUUUUUUUCUUUUUUAAUUCCCAACUCGAAUAAUGUUUUUAUGUAUGCAGGUACAACAGAGAGACUAGCUAACAAAUUUGAUCAAUUUAAACUCUCUG
rnacentral:lncRNA from 1 species